CGGUAAUUCCAGCUCCAAUAGCGUAUACUAAAGUUGUUGCAGUUAAGAAGCUCGUAGUUGGAUUUCUGCGGGGACGGAGCGGCCGGACGCAACUUGCGUCUCGAGCUAGCGCUUUCCCCGCAUCCUGCCGCGAACCGUGCUACCAUUAGUUUGGUGGCGCUGGGGAUCGGCUCGAUUACUUUGAGAAAAAUAGAGUGUUCAAAGCAGGCCACACGCCUUGAAUAAGUUAGCAUGGAAUAAUGACUAAGGACUUCGGUUCUAUUUUGUUGGUGUUCGGGACUGAAGUAAUGAUUGAUAGGGACAGUUGGGGCGGUCUGUAUUCCAAAGCGAGAGGUGAAAUUCUUAGACCUUCGGAAGACAAACAGCUGCGAAAGCGUUCCGCAAGGAUGUUCCCUUUGAUCAAGAACGAAAGUUGGGGGAUCGAAGACGAUCAGAUACCGUCGUAGUCUCAACUAUAAACUAUACCAGCUAGGGAUCGGCCAACGUUUAAUUAUUCGACUUGGUCGGCACCUUAUGAGAAAUCAAAGCAUCUGGGUUCCGGGGGGAGUAUGGUCGCAAGGCUGAAACUUAAAGGAAUUGACGGAAGGGCACCACCAGCCGUGGAGCCUGUGGCUUAAUUUGACUCAACACGGGAAAACUUACCAGGUCCAGACAUAGGAAGGAUUGACAGAUUGAUAGCUCUUUCUUGAUUCUGUGGGUGGUGGUGCAUGGCCGUUUUUAGUUGGUGGAGUGAUUUGUCUGCUUAAUUGCGUUAACGAACGAGACCCCAGCCUGCUAAAUAGCGCGGCCGAGCUUUGCUCGGUGCGAGCUUCUUAGAGGGACCAUGAUGCGCGAUAGCACAAGGAAGUUUGGGGCAACAACAGGUCUGUGAUGCCCUUAGAUGUUCUGGUCCGCACACGGGCUACACUGGCGCCUACAACGAGCAUAUCAGCUGGCCCGAGAGGGACUUGGCUAAUCUUUUGAACCGGCGCCGUGCUUGGGAUUGACCUUUGCAAUUGUUGGUCAUGCAACGAGGAAUGCCUUGUAAACUGCGAGUCAUCAGCUCGCAUUGAAUACGUCCCUGCCCCUUGUACACACCGCCC
rnacentral:rRNA from 1 species